UCGACGUAAUCGAUAACGUGGACUAUAAAAAUUUGUCGACGUGGAAUUUCAUUGUCGACUAGUCGUUAUUGAUGCAAUGCACUAAAGGGACUGCAGGGGGCGCAGCAUCGCUUCCAUGGCGCAGCGGGGAGUUUAUGAAGACAGAGAGGUAAAGAUAAAGAGACUGAAACUUUCUAAAGUAUUUCAGCCAAAAUAACCCAAAGAAACGAGCUGGACGCAGACACUACAGAGCAGAGUUAUGGUUUCACGCCAGCACUACGGUGAAACGCCUUGCAGCUGUGAUGAGCAGCGUUAUUACGCACUAAGCAAUGGAGUGUGGAUGAGAAGAGAAGAGGUUCAUGCACCCCUCAGAUGGCUGAGGUCUUCACAGACAGCAUUCACAUGUUUCUCAACCACGUUAUAUAUGUUUUUGACUUCCAGAGUGAUAACUUCUGAAACAUAACAGUUUCUAAUGCUGUCCAAAGCUUUCUUAUUUCAUUGAAUUUUUUUUAUUGUGAUUGUGUAUUAAUGUUUCAAAUAUAUUUAAUUAAACUAUCAAGCCUAA